rnacentral:rRNA from 1 species
CUAAGGCCAACGGGAGAAGGGUUGUUAAGGAACUCGGCAAAUUGACCCCGUAACUUCGGGAGAAGGGGUGCUCCAGAGAUGGAGCCGCAGAGAAUCGGCCCAAGCAACUGUUUACCAAAAACACAGGUUUGUGCUAAAUCGAAAGAUGACGUAUACGAGCUGACGCCUGCCCGGUGCUGGAAGGUUAAGAGGAGAUGUGCAAGCAUUGAAUCGAAGCCCCAGUGAACGGCGGCCGUAACUAUAACGGUCCUAAGGUAGCGAAAUUCCUUGUCAGGUAAGUUCUGACCCGCAUGAAAGGCGUAAUGAUUUGGGCACUGUCUCGACAGCCCGCCCGGCGAAAUUGUAGUACCGGUGAAGAUGCCGGUUACCCGCGACAAGACGGAAAGACCCCAUGGAGCUUUACUGUAGCCUAAUAUUGGGUUUCGAUGUUGCAUGCACAGGAUAGAUGGGACACAGGGAAACAAGUGCUUUGGCAUUUGUGGAGUGGCCGUUGGGAUACCAUCCUUGCGAUAUUGGAAUUCUAACCUGCGCCUUUGAAUCAAGGCGGGGGACAUUGUUAGGUGGGCAGUUUGACUGGGGCGGUCGCCUCCUAAAGAGUAACGGAGGCGUUCAAAGGUUCGCUCAGCUUGAACGGAAAUCAAGCAAAAGAGUGCAAACGCAGAAGCGAGCCUAACUGCGAGACUGACGGGUCGAGCAGUAACGAAAGUUGGAGUUAGUGAUCCGGUGGUAUGUGAGUGGAAAUGCCAUCGCUCAACGGAUAAAAGUUACCCUGGGGAUAACAGGCUGAUCUCCCCCAAGAGUCCACAUCGACGGGGAGGUUUGGCACCUCGAUGUCGGCUCAUCGCAUCCUGGGGCUGAAGUAGGUCCCAAGGGUUGGGCUGUUCGCCCAUUAAAGCGGUACGCGAGCUGGGUUCAGAACGUCGUGAGACAGUUCGGUCCCUAUCUGUCGUGGGCGCAGGAUAUUUGAUGGGAGCUGUUCCUAGUACGAGAGGACCGGAGCGGACGUACCUCUGGCGCACCAGUUGUUCUGCCAAGGGCAUAGCUGGGCAACUAUGUACGGAUCGGAUAAACGCUGAAAGCAUCUAAGCGUGAAGCCGACCCAAAGAUAAGAUAUCCCAUUGUUUCAAACAAGUAAGACCCCUUGAAGACUACAAGGUUGAUAGGCACGAUGUGUAAGUGGAGUGAUCCAUUCAGCAAGCGUGUACUAAUAGGUCGAGGGCUUGACCAC